AUGACGUCAAGUCAUCAUGGCCCUUAUGUCCAGGGCGACACACGUGCUACAAUGGCCGGCACAGCGGGAAGCGGAGGGGCGACCCUGAGCGGAUCCCUUGAAAGCCGGUCCCAGUUCGGAUUGCAGUCUGCAACUCGACUGCAUGAAGUUGGAAUCGCUAGUAAUCGCGGAUCAGCCAAGCCGCGGUGAAUACGUUCCCGGGCCUU
rnacentral:rRNA from 1 species